AUAAUGGGUCAGCGACUUAUAUUCUGUAGCAAGGUUAACCGAAUAGGGGAGCCGAAGGGAAACCGAGUCUUAACUGGGCGUUAAGUUGCAGGGUAUAGACCCGAAACCCGGUGAUCUAGCCAUGGGCAGGUUGAAGGUUGGGUAACACUAACUGGAGGACCGAACCGACUAAUGUUGAAAAAUUAGCGGAUGACUUGUGGCUGGGGGUGAAAGGCCAAUCAAACCGGGAGAUAGCUGGUUCUCCCCGAAAGCUAUUUAGGUAGCGCCUCGUGAAUUCAUCUC
rnacentral:rRNA from 1 species